rnacentral:rRNA from 1 species
GAUGAACGCUAGCUACAGGCUUAACACAUGCAAGUCGAGGGGCAGCAUGGUCUUAGCUUGCUAAGGCCGAUGGCGACCGGCGCACGGGUGAGUAACACGUAUCCAACCUGCCGUCUACUCUUGGACAGCCUUCUGAAAGGAAGAUUAAUACAAGAUGGCAUCAUGAGUCCGCAUGUUCACAUGAUUAAAGGUAUUCCGGUAGACGAUGGGGAUGCGUUCCAUUAGAUAGUAGGCGGGGUAACGGCCCACCUAGUCUUCGAUGGAUAGGGGUUCUGAGAGGAAGGUCCCCCACAUUGGAACUGAGACACGGUCCAAACUCCUACGGGAGGCAGCAGUGAGGAAUAUUGGUCAAUGGGCGAGAGCCUGAACCAGCCAAGUAGCGUGAAGGAUGACUGCCCUAUGGGUUGUAAACUUCUUUUAUAAAGGAAUAAAGUCGGGUAUGCAUACCCGUUUGCAUGUACUUUAUGAAUAAGGAUCGGCUAACUCCGUGCCAGCAGCCGCGGUAAUACGGAGGAUCCGAGCGUUAUCCGGAUUUAUUGGGUUUAAAGGGAGCGUAGAUGGAUGUUUAAGUCAGUUGUGAAAGUUUGCGGCUCAACCGUAAAAUUGCAGUUGAUACUGGAUAUCUUGAGUGCAGUUGAGGCAGGCGGAAUUCGUGGUGUAGCGGUGAAAUGCUUAGAUUUCACGAAGAACUCCGAUUGCGAAGGCAGCCUGCUAAGCUGCAACUGACAUUGAGGCUCGAAAGUGUGGGUAUCAAACAGGAUUAGAUACCCUGGUAGUCCACACGGUAAACGAUGAAUACUCGCUGUUUGCGAUAUACAGCAAGCGGCCAAGCGAAAGCGUUAAGUAUUCCACCUGGGGAGUACGCCGGCAACGGUGAAACUCAAAGGAAUUGACGGGGGCCCGCACAAGCGGAGGAACAUGUGGUUUAAUUCGAUGAUACGCGAGGAACCUUACCCGGGCUUAAAUUGCAGAUGAAUUACGGUGAAAGCCGUAAGCCGCAAGGCAUCUGUGAAGGUGCUGCAUGGUUGUCGUCAGCUCGUGCCGUGAGGUGUCGGCUUAAGUGCCAUAACGAGCGCAACCCUUGUUGUCAGUUACUAACAGGUUCCGCUGAGGACUCUGACAAGACUGCCAUCGUAAGAUGUGAGGAAGGUGGGGAUGACGUCAAAUCAGCACGGCCCUUACGUCCGGGGCUACACACGUGUUACAAUGGGGGGUACAGAGGGCCGCUACCACGCGAGUGGAUGCCAAUCCCAAAAACCUCUCUCAGUUCGGACUGGAGUCUGCAACCCGACUCCACGAAGCUGGAUUCGCUAGUAAUCGCGCAUCAGCCACGGCGCGGUGAAUACGUUCCCGGGCCU